AGAAUCAACGCUGGCGGCGUGCCUAACACAUGCAAGUCGCACGAGAAAGGGGGCUUCGGCCCUGAGUAAAGUGGCGCACGGGUGAGUAACACGUGAAUAAUCUACCUCCGAGUGGGGAAUAACUGAGAGAAAUCUUAGCUAAUACCGCAUAACACUUACGAGUCAAAGCAGCAAUGCGCUUGGAGAGGAGUUCGCGGCCGAUUAGUUAGUUGGCGGGGUAAUGGCCCACCAAGACGAUGAUCGGUA
rnacentral:rRNA from 1 species